rnacentral:rRNA from 1 species
AUUGAACGCUGGCGGCAUGCCUUACACAUGCAAGUCGAACGGUAACAGGUCUUCGGAUGCUGACGAGUGGCGAACGGGUGAGUAAUACAUCGGAACGUGCCCAGACGUGGGGGAUAACGAGGCGAAAGCUUUGCUAAUACCGCAUACGAUCUAAGGAUGAAAGCAGGGGGCCGCAAGGCCUUGUGCGUUUGGAGCGGCCGAUGGCAGAUUAGGUAGUUGGUGGGAUAAAAGCUUACCAAGCCGACGAUCUGUAGCUGGUCUGAGAGGACGACCAGCCACACUGGGACUGAGACACGGCCCAGGCUCCUACGGGAGGCAGCAGUGGGGAAUCUUGGACAAUGGGCGAAAGCCUGAUCCAGCAAUGCCGCGUGCAGGAUGAAGGCCUUCGGGUUGUAAACUGCUUUUGUACGGAACGAAAAGGCUCUGGCUAAUACCUGGGGCACAUGACGGUACCGUAAGAAUAAGCACCGGCUAACUACGUG